CUUGUUUGGUACCUGCAGGAUAGUGGAAUAUUUUGUAUUUACUUCUUGUAAAUAAGUGGAUUUUCUAUUUGAAGCACCUGGUCUCUGUGCAUUAAACUGUGUAUAGUGCUUCGAGUUUCAGAGCCACGCAGGCGUCAGACGUCACGACAGGAGGUGUCACUGUCGGUGAGUGUCGUCAGUGGACAUACAGCUCACUCUCCACUGUCCUCUUUUUGUCACAGUUUCACUGUCUUUCUGCACCAAGUACCUGCUGUUUAAAUAUGAAUGAAAACAGAUGACAGAACAAUGUAAGGGCAGCAGCAGCAGCAGCAGCAGCAGCAGGUGACUGAGGACAAGACCGGACAAGUCACACACAAUGGAGGCUCAGAGAGCAAGCAGAACCUGACACUGGUGGACAGGACAAGAGACUCUCCUGUCCAUAUGCUGCGUGGGAAGAGUUUGCCAAGCCCGUCUGAGUCACCUGCUCCGUGACGCAUGACACGUCACCAACGAGACCAUGUGAUGCAAGAGCACAGCUGAGUCCACUCACGUGUCGUCUGUGCUCAGAGCCUCAGCUGCUUUGCCGUCUCCCUGGAUGGACUCCAUGGCGGUGGAGUAAAGC